ACUGUCUGCAGAGCUGUUCUCAGGACUGCUGCUGCUUUCUCUUUGCUCCUCUUUCUCUUCUUCAGUCUCCUGGAGCAGCGAGGAUCAUUGGACUCACAGCAACAGAGGAGACGGGAGAAGAUGAUCUGCAGGAUCCUGCUGCUCAUCAUCCUCAACUCAUGUCUCUGUGCAACAUUUGUAGUGAAUGUGACACAGAGCUCCUAUCAGGCAGAGGAGAACCACAGCAUCACUCUGGAGUGGACCUUCACCACCACACCUGAUCGACCCUGGAGAGAUCUGUUCAUCCUCUGCAGCUUGUUAACUCCUAGGAAAGAAUUAUUCCUUUAUCAGGUCCAUGAUGGUGUUGAAGUGUCAGAGUCUCAGGAUGAACAAUUUUCAGGACGAGUCCAGAGUGACAAAGACGUCCUCAGAGAAGGACGAAUCAGACUCCAUGUGUCCAGACUGAGGACUAAAGACUCUGGUCUGUAUCUGUGUGAUGUUCAGACUGAUGAAGGUUCUGGUUCUGGAUCCUGUCGACUCAACGUCUCUGCUGCUGAUCAGCUCCAACCUCACACUGAGAAUCCACAACCAGACCAUCGAGGAAGAACUAGUCUUUAUAUUUUUCUGGGUCUAUUAG